CAUCUCCUCACUCCACACAUCUCACUCCACGCAUCUCCUCACACCACGCAUCUCACUCCACACAUCUCCUCACUCCACACAUCUCCUCACUCCACACAUCUCACUCCAGACAUCUCCUCACUCCACACAUCUCACUCCACGCAUCUCCUCACUCCAUGCGUCUCCUCACUCCACGCAUCUCCUCACACCACGCAUCUCACUCCACACAUCUCCUCACUCCACGCAUCUCACUCCACACAUCUCCUCACUCCACACAUCUCACUCCACGCAUCUCCUCACUCCACACGUCUCCUCACUCCACACAUCUCCUCACUCCACACAUCUCACUCCACACAUCUCACUCCACACAUCUCCUCACUCCACACAUCUCCUCACUCCACAGAAAUCCUCACUGUACGCAUCUCCUUAUCCCACGCCUCCCCUCGUCCCACGUCCCGUGGUCACACUCAUGUCCUCACUGCACACCUCCUGCUGCCUUCUGCAAGGUUCGACUGCUGACUUUGCUUCCCACAGCAUUUCCACUGCUUGACACAGGUGAAUG
rnacentral:lncRNA from 1 species